rnacentral:SRP_RNA from 1 species
GGGUAAGUCUUGCACGACCAGCUCCCGCUUAAUCCUCCAGGGCCGGAAGGCAGCAAAGGCGUGGCGGUCGCAGCGGUGCGAUGCAAGUAGCUUACCCUUU